AAUCCAGACGGCCUACUUAAAUAUGGACACUGAUGAUGCAACAAAAAGUCUUCAUUUACAACAAAGGUACUUUGGGGCUGACAGACAGCCAUUGUGAAGGACACAAUCUGGAAAAAAAAUUACCUGCAGAAGUGAAUGGGAGGAUAUGGGCUCUGAGGAAAAACUCUACACACAGACGCUCUACACACAUAGACGGCUCAAGGCUGCUAACUGGCAGAGCAGCUGGAAAAC